ACAAAAUUACUAAUAAAAAAUUGGUACAUAAUUGUUGUUUAUACUAAUUUACAGUUGACAGUUAUGGACGAAAUGUUUCGGGAAAAAAGAGGCGGCGGAGUUAGUCAGGCUCAAAUGGUAAAAUUACUAGAAUUAUUAGGCGGAAACAGAAUUUUAUUAACGGCAAGUUAUAUAACAAAAUGUGAGCAGACACACUUUUUGGAAACGCAUUGUGAUACAACAAAAUAAUGUUGAUAAUGGAGUUCAAAAGAAUGUUUACAAAUGGUGUAAAGUAAUGGUGUAAACUGAUCCAAUGAAAGAUAAAGAAAGGAGACAAUACAUCAGAAGAAUGUAAUUAAGAUUGGAAGCAAUUGAACUAAAAUUAAAGGGUGAUAAGUUAAAGCUAAAAGAAAUUGAAGUGAAUAAAGUAAGCUUUCUGUCACAUAGUGAAGAAGAAAAUUGAAGUGCAUGAAGGAUUUAUCAUAUUCUUAAAAAGAGUUGCUGGAAUGGGCUUAAUAGGUUUUGUUUCGUCUUGUAAAUGAUAGGGAAGAAAAUAAUGA